AAAUUGAAGAGUUUGAUCAUGGCUCAGAUUGAACGCUGGCGGCAGGCCUAACACAUGCAAGUCGAGCGGUAACAGGAAGCAGCUUGCUGCUUUGCUGACGAGUGGCGGACGGGUGAGUAAUGUCUGGGAAACUGCCUGAUGGAGGGGGAUAACUACUGGAAACGGUGGCUAAUACCGCAUAACGUCGCAAGACCAAAGAGGGGGACCUUCGGGCCUCUUGCCAUCAGAUGUGCCCAGAUGGGAUUAGCU
rnacentral:rRNA from 1 species